ensembl:lncRNA
CUUCUCUAUUUGCCAAAAUUAAUUGGAAGCUUUUAUUCACACAAAACCCUAUAUGUGGUUUAUAGCAGCUUUAUAGUUGUCAAAACUUGGAAGCAAACCUUCAGUAGCUGUAUGGAUAAAUUGUGGUACAUCCUAACACUGGGAUAUUAUUCAGUGCCAAAAAGAAAUGAGCUACCAGGCCAUGAAAAGACAUGGAGGAGAUGUAAAGACAGAUUAUACUCUGUUUCAUCCAUGCCUUUCCAUGGAGCAAAGAAACAAGAUAUCAACAAUCAGGGGCAUGGCAACUAUGAUUCCAUCAUUCACAAGUUCAAUUUCCUUCAAAAGAACAAGUGAUACUGUUAACCAGGCCCUGCAAGCACAUAUAAAACAAACAGCAUGACUGGAAAAGAGAAAAUGAAAAAUGGUCUAAGAAACCUUAUCUUUCUCCCAUAACCAAGUAUACUAGUCCCACCCUUUGGAGCUCAGAUGAACAGAAUGAAGAUCAUGGCGUUCCUAACACUAGCCCUUUCUUUCUACAU